GCGAACGGGGAGGAGCCCAGAGCCUGAAUCAGCAUGUGUGUUAGUGGAAGCGUCUGGAAAGGCGCGCGAUACAGGGUGACAGCCCCGUACACAAAAGCGCAUGUGCUGUGAGCUCGAUGAGUAGGGCGGGACACGUGGUAUCCUGUCUGAAUAUGGGGGGACCAUCCUCCAAGGCUAAAUACUCCUGACUGACCGAUAGUGAACCAGUACCGUGAGGGAAAGGCGAAAAGAACCCCGGCGAGGGGAGUGAAAAAGAACCUGAAACCGUGUACGUACAAGCAGUGGGAGCACCCUUCGGGGUGUGACUGCGUACCUUUUGUAUAAUGGGUCAGCGACUUAUAUUCUGUAGCAAGGUUAACCGUAUAGGGGAGCCGGAGGGAAACCGAGUCUUAAUUGGGCGUUAAGUUGCAGGGUAUAGACCCGAAACCCGGUGAUCUAGCCAUGGGCAGGUUGAAGGUUGGGUAACACUAACUGGAGGACCGAACCGACUAAUGUUGAAAAAUUAGCGGAUGACCUGUGGCUGGGGGUGAAAGGCCAAUCAAACCGGGAGAUAGCUGGUUCUCCCCGAAAGCUAUUUAGGUAGCGCCUCGUGAAUUCAUCUCCGGGGGUAGAGCACUGUUUCGGCUAGGGGGCCAUCCCGGCUUACCAACCCGAUGCAAACUGCGAAUACCGGAGAAUGUUAUCACGGGAGACACACGGCGGGUGCUAACGUCCGUCGUGAAGAGGGAAACAACCCAGACCGCCAGCUAAGGUCCCAAAGUCAUGGUUAAGUGGGAAACGAUGUGGGAAGGCCCAGACAGCCAGGAUGUUGGCUUAGAAGCAGCCAUCAUUUAAAGAAAGCGUAAUAGCUCACUGGUCGAGUCGGCCUGCGCGGAAGAUGUAACGGGGCUAAACCAUGCACCGAAGCUGCGGCAGCGAACGUAUCACCCAAGACAACUUUACGGAGUUGACGAUUGACGGAGCGAAGCGACGUCAAAGCGUUCAUUAAAGUCGAGUUGGCUUAGGGAUACGUUCGUUGGGUAGGGGAGCGUUCUGUAAGCCUGUGAAGGUGUGUCGUGAGGCAUGCUGGAGGUAUCAGAAGUGCGAAUGCUGACAUAAGUAACGAUAAAGCGGGUGAAAAGCCCGCUCGCCGGAAGACCAAGGGUUCCUGUCCAACGUUAAUCGGGGCAGGGUGAGUCGACCCCUAAGGCGAGGCCGAAAGGCGUAGUCGAUGGGAAACGGGUUAAUAUUCCCGUACUUGGUGUUACUGCGAAGGGGGGACGGAGAAGGCUAUGUUGGCCGGGCGACGGUUGUCCCGGUUUAAGCGUGUAGGUGUGUGUUCCAGGUAAAUCCGGUUCACUUUAACACUGAGGCGUGACGACGAGGCACUACGGUGCUGAAGCAACAAAUGCCCUGCUUCCAGGAAAAGCCUCUAAGCAUCAGGUAACACGAAAUCGUACCCCAAACCGACACAGGUGGUCAGGUAGAGAAUACCAAGGCGCUUGAGAGAACUCGGGUGAAGGAACUAGGCAAAAUGGUGCCGUAACUUCGGGAGAAGGCACGCUGACACGUAGGUGAAGUGAUUUACUCAUGGAGCUGAAGUCAGUCGAAGAUACCAGCUGGCUGCAACUGUUUAUUAAAAACACAGCACUGUGCAAACACGAAAGUGGACGUAUACGGUGUGACGCCUGCCCGGUGCCGGAAGGUUAAUUGAUGGGGUCAGCGCAAGCGAAGCUCCUGAUCGAAGCCCCGGUAAACGGCGGCCGUAACUAUAACGGUCCUAAGGUAGCGAAAUUCCUUGUCGGGUAAGUUCCGACCUGCACGAAUGGCGUAAUGAUGGCCAGGCUGUCUCCACCCGAGACUCAGUGAAAUUGAACUCGCUGUGAAGAUGCAGUGUACCCGCGGCAAGACGGAAAGACCCCGUGAACCUUUACUAUAGCUUGACACUGAACAUUGAGCCUUGAUGUGUAGGAUAGGUGGGAGGCUUUGAAGUGUGGACGCCAGUCUGCAUGGAGCCGACCUUGAAAUACCACCCUUUAAUGUUUGAUGUUCUAACGUGGACCCGUAAUCCGGGUUGCGGACAGUGUCUGGUGGGUAGUUUGACUGGGGCGGUCUCCUCCUAAAGAGUAACGGAGGAGCACGAAGGUUGGCUAAUCCUGGUCGGACAUCAGGAGGUUAGUGCAAUGGCAUAAGCCAGCUUGACUGCGAGCGUGACGGCGCGAGCAGGUGCGAAAGCAGGUCAUAGUGAUCCGGUGGUUCUGAAUGGAAGGGCCAUCGCUCAACGGAUAAAAGGUACUCCGGGGAUAACAGGCUGAUACCGCCCAAGAGUUCAUAUCGACGGCGGUGUUUGGCACCUCGAUGUCGGCUCAUCACAUCCUGGGGCUGAAGUAGGUCCCAAGGGUAUGGCUGUUCGCCAUUUAAAGUGGUACGCGAGCUGGGUUUAGAACGUCGUGAGACAGUUCGGUCCCUAUCUGCCGUGGGCGCUGGAGAACUGAGGGGGGCUGCUCCUAGUACGAGAGGACCGGAGUGGACGCAUCACUGGUGUUCGGGUUGUCAUGCCAAUGGCACUGCCCGGUAGCUAAAUGCGGAAGAGAUAAGUGCUGAAAGCAUCUAAGCACGAAACUUGCCCCGA
rnacentral:rRNA from 1 species